rnacentral:rRNA from 1 species
UACGGGGGGAGCAAGCGUUGUUCGGAUUUACUGGGCGUAAAGGGCGCGUAGGCGGCCAGCACAAGUCAGUUGUGAAAUCUCCGAGCUUAACUCGGAAAGGUCAACUGAUACUGUGCGGCUAGAGUGCGGAAGGGGCAACUGGAAUUCUUGGUGUAGCGGUGAAAUGCGUAGAUAUCAAGAGGAACACCUGCGGCGAAGGCGGGUGCUGGGCCGACACUGACGCUGAGGCGCGAAGCCAGGGGAGCGAACGGG